AGAACGAACGUUGGCGGCGUGGAUUAGGCAUGCAAGUCGAGCGAGAAGGUCCCCUUCGGGGGCCGGACAGCGGCGAACGGGGUAGUAAGACGUCGGAACGUGCCCUCGGGACCGGGAUAGCCACGGGAAACUGUGGGUAAUACCGGAUGACCUCUCCGGAGCAAAUGGUGAGAUUCCGCCCGAGGAGCGGCCGACCUGGUACCAGGUAGUCGGCGGGGUAACGGCCCACCGAGCCUGCGACGCCUAGGGGGUGUGAGAGCAUGGCCCCCACACCGGGACUGAGACACUGCCCGGACACCUACGGGUGGCUGCAGUCGAGAAUCUUCGGCAAUGGACGCAAGUCCGACCGAGCGACGCCGCGUGCGGGACGACGGCCUUCGGGUUGUAAACCGCUGUCAGGGGGGAUGAAAUCGCCCGGGGUCCUCCCCGGGUGUUGACAGAGCCCCAGAGGAAGCACGGGCUAAGUUCGUGCCAGCAGCCGC
rnacentral:rRNA from 1 species